CAAGAUGUAGCUUAAUCAACCAAAGCACCCGGCUUACACCCGGAAGACUUCACCUUUGGAACAUCUUGA
rnacentral:tRNA from 1 species